rnacentral:rRNA from 1 species
GCUUGUCUCAAAGAUUAAGCCAUGCAUGUCUAAGUGUAAAUAAGUCUAUACUGUGAAACUGCGAAUGGCUCAUUAAAUCAGUUAUCGUUUAUUUGAUGGUCCCUUACUACAUGGAUAACCGUAGUAAUUCUAGAGCUAAUACAUGCACAAAGGCCCGACUCACGGAGGGCUGUAUUUAUUAGAUUCAAACCAACACUUUUUGGUGAUUCAUAAUAACUCGCGGAUCGGUUUACCGAUGCAUCAUUCAAGUUUCUGCCCUAUCAGCUUUGGAUGGUAGGGUAUUGGCCUACCAUGGCUUUAACGGGUAACGGAGAAUUAGGGUUCGAUUCCGGAGAGGGAGCCUGAGAAAUGGCUACCACAUCCAAGGAAGGCAGCAGG